UACGAAGGGGGCUAGCGUUGCUCGGAAUUACUGGGCGUAAAGCGCACGUAGGCGGCUUCUUAAGUCGGUGGUGAAAUCCUGGAGCUCAACUCCAGAACUGCCUUCGAUACUGGGAAGCUCGAGUCCGGGAGAGGUGAGUGGAACUUCAGGUGUAGCGGUGAAAUGCGUAGAUAUCUGAAGGAACAUCAGUGGCGAAAGCGACUUCCUGGACGAAUACUGACGCUCAUGUGCGAAAGCGUGGGGAGCAAACAGG
rnacentral:rRNA from 1 species